rnacentral:rRNA from 1 species
AAGACCUUGUGCUUUUGGAGCGGCCGAUGCCUGAUUAGCUAGUUGGUGGGGUAAGGGCCUACCAAGGCUACGAUCAGUAGUUGGUCUGAGAGGACGACCAGCCACACUGGGACUGAGACACGGCCCAGACUCCUACGGGAGGCAGCAGUGGGGAAUUUUGGACAAUGGGCGCAAGCCUGAUCCAGCAAUGCCGCGUGAGUGAAGAAGGCCUUCGGGUUGUAAAGCUCUUUCAGUCGAGAAGAAAAGGCUGUGACUAAUAAUCAUAGUUUAUGACGGUAUCGACAGAAGAAGCACCGGCUAACUACGUGCCAGCAGCCGCGGUAAUACGUAGGGUGCAAGCGUUAAUCGGAAUUACUGGGCGUAAAGGGUGCGCAGGCGGCUUUGUAAGUCAGAUGUGAAAUCCCCGGGCUUAACCUGGGAAUU